rnacentral:rRNA from 1 species
UACGGAGGGGGCAAACGUUGCUCGGAAUCAUUGGGCGUAAAGCGCACGUAGGCGGCGCGUUAAGUCGGGUGUGAAAGCCCUGGGCUCAACCCAGGAAGUGCAUUCGAAACUGGCGCGCUUGAAUAUGGAAGAGGGUCGCGGAAUUCCCGGUGUAGAGGUGAAAUUCGUAGAUAUCGGGAGGAACACCAGUGGCGAAGGCGGCGACCUGGGCCAAUAUUGACGCUGAGGUGCGAAAGCUAGGGGAGCAAACGGG